CUCCAACAGAAGCCUUAAUGUGUCACAGAACGAGUGCAAAAGCUCUUGCCAACAAAACCAUUUCCCUCCCACCACCACCCACCCACAAAGCUGUUCCAGGAACCAUAUCAACAGUGAGUGUUUGUAGCAAUAUUAUAACAUGUUUCCUUCUUAGCCAUGUUGGUAAGUUCCUUGUGUUAUCUGAUACAGGGUGUAUUUGAACAGUUCUGCGUAAAAGAACAUUUUCUACUGUUACUAG